rnacentral:lncRNA from 1 species
CACAGGCUAAGGCAUGAUGCAUUCCUCCAGCAGAAUGGUGGUGUCUAUCAGUCAGGGGAUUUGUAAUCAGAUCUGCAAUCAGACGGGUAAGAAGUGCUGACUCCAGUUUUCCAAGGUGAAUAUAAGAACAAAGAAUAUCCAAGGAGCAUCUGGACUCUUCAGACUUGAGAUUCAUAUGCAUUUCAUUUUCUCCAUAUUGGCAGGGUUUGUACGCACACGCGCUUUCCCUGCACCCCAUGCCACAGCAUUGGAAGAACCUCAUUCAACACUUGGUGCAUGA